GCUUAUCACCAUUACAGAUUGAAUAUACCCGAUCUCGUCUGACCUCGGAAGUCAAGCAAUCUCGGGCUUGGUUAGUACUUGGAUGGGUGACCGCUUGGGAAUACCAAGUGUGAUAAGCA
rfam:Ciona savignyi cont_37879, whole genome shotgun sequence.